rnacentral:lncRNA from 1 species
ACAUUACUCUCUAUACUCCACUUGUGGGAUCCCACUAGGUUGUUGUUGUUGCUGUUUAUAAUGAUUAAGAGUAAGCUUAUGCCACAUUCAAUUUUACUGUUUAUGAGUACAAGGAAUUCAGAACAAACUACUGAAAAGGAUAGCUCUUUUUCACUUUUCGAAGAAUACAUACUUAUAAUAUCCUAUAUGAAGCUUGAAACCACUAUUCUAAG